rnacentral:rRNA from 1 species
CCUACGGGUGGCAGCAGUGGGGAAUAUUGCACAAUGGGCGCAAGCCUGAUGCAGCCAUGCCGCGUGUGUGAAGAAGGCCUUCGGGUUGUAAAGCACUUUCAGCGGGGAGGAAGGCGGUGAGGUUAAUAACCUCAUCGAUUGACGUUACCCGCAGAAGAAGCACCGGCUAACUCCGUGCCAGCAGCCGCGGUAAUACGGAGGGUGCAAGCGUUAAUCGGAAUUACUGGGCGUAAAGCGCACGCAGGCGGUCUGUCAAGUCGGAUGUGAAAUCCCCGGGCUCAACCUGGGAACUGCAUUCGAAACUGGCAGGCUAGAGUCUUGUAGAGGGGUGUAGAAUUCCAGGUGUAGCGGUGAAAUGCGUAGAGAUCUGGAGGAAUACCGGUGGCGAAGGCGGCCCCCUGGACAAAGACUGACGCUCAGGUGCGAAAGCGUGGGGAGCAAACAGGAUUAGAUACCCGGGUAGUC